UACGUAGGGAGCGAGCGUUAUCCGGAUUUAUUGGGCGUAAAGGGUGCGUAGGCGGCUUGUUAAGUAUGAAAUUAAAGCCCGGGGCUUAACUCCGGUUCGUUUCAUAAACUGGCUAGCUUGAGUAUGGAAGAGGUAAACGGAAUUUCUAGUGUAGCGGUGAAAUGCGUAGAUAUUAGAAGGAACACCAGUGGCGAAGGCGGUUUACUGGGCCAUUACUGACGCUGAGGCACGAAAGCGUGGGGAGC
rnacentral:rRNA from 1 species